rnacentral:misc_RNA from 1 species
GGUAUUGGAAUGAGUAUGGAGACAAUAGUUGGUAAAAAUUCCAUGGUUGCUACACCAUGAGGAAGAGGCAAGGUGACAAAUUUGUGGGCAAUAAAUUCAAUAUGGGUGAGACUCGUACUUGAGGCAGAAAUUGUUAGGAUAGCAAGUAUGAGUUGUUUGUUGAAUGAGAAUAAAAAGUAUCCCACAUUGGUAAGUGAGGACAUAUGAGUGGGAAUGAUUUGUGAACCUAAUGCUUAAGGUUUUGGAUUUGGUUUCAUUUAAAGUCCGCUUGUGUGGUCUCUAAUGGGCCUUAGGAGGAUUUUCCCUUGAUAUGGAU